rnacentral:rRNA from 1 species
GAUGAACGCUGGCGGCGUGCCUAAUACAUGCAAGUCGAGCGAACAGGUGAGGAGCUUGCUCCUCUGACGUUAGCGGCGGACGGGUGAGUAACACGUGGAUAACCUACCUAUAAGACUGGGAUAACUUCGGGAAACCGGAGCUAAUACCGGAUAAUAUAUUGAACCGCAGGGUUCAAUAGUGAAAGACGGUUUUGCUGUCACUUAUAGAUGGAUCCGCGCCGCAUUAGCUAGUUGGUAAGGUAACGGCUUACCAAGGCAACGAUGCGUAGCCGACCUGAGAGGGUGAUCGGCCACACUGGAACUGAGACACGGUCCAGACUCCUACGGGAGGCAGCAGUAGGCAAUCUGCCGCAAUGGGCGAAAGCCUGACGGAGCAACGCCGCGUGAGUGAUGAAGGUCUUCGGAUCGUAAAACUCUGUUAUUAGGGAAGAACAAAUGUGUAAGUAACUAUGCACGUCUUGACGGUACCUAAUCAGAAAGCCACGGCUAACUACGUG